rnacentral:miRNA from 1 species
UCACAGGAGAGCCAUUUAGAGUUU